rnacentral:rRNA from 1 species
CGACAUAAGAAGGUGAUCGACCACACUGGAACUAAGACACGGUCCAGACUCCUACGGGAGGCAGCAGUAGGGAAUCUUCCGCAAUGGGCGAAAGCCUGACGGAGCAACGCCGCGUGAGUGAUGAAGGUCUUCGGAUCGUAAAACUCUGUUGUUAGGGAAGAACAAAUUUGUUAGUAACUGAACAAGUCUUGACGGUACCUAACCAGAAAGCCACGACUAACUACGUGCCAGCAGCCGCGGUAAUAC